GUUCCAACGCAGAUAUUGUAUGGCCCGUGAGAGGUGAAUUCUUGGUGGGGAGCUUCCCGGAAACGAAAGUCUUCCGGCAAGGGGGAAGUAUGGUUGCAAAGCUGAAACUUAAAGGAAUUGAUAGGAAUCGCCCGUCGCUGCCCGGGACUGAGCCAUUUCGAGAAAUUUGGGGACCGUUGAUUUAAUUUUUCUAAAUUACCCUCGAUAAGAAACCAAUUUAAUCGCAGUGGCUUGAACCA
rnacentral:rRNA from 1 species